rnacentral:rRNA from 1 species
AUUGAACGCUGGCGGCAGGCUUAACACAUGCAAGUCGAGCGGAGCGAGGGUGCUUGCACCUUAGCUUAGCGGCGGACGGGUGAGUAAUGCUUAGGAAUCUGCCUAUUAGUGGGGGACAACAUUCCGAAAGGAAUGCUAAUACCGCAUACGCCCUACGGGGGAAAGCAGGGGAUCUUCGGACCUUGCGCUAAUAGAUGAGCCUAGGUCGGAUUAGCUAGUUGGUGAGGUAACGGCUCACCAAGGCGACGAUCCGUAGCUUGUCUGAGAGGAUGAUCAGCCACACUGGAACUGAGACACGGUCCAGACUCCUACGGGAGGCAGCAGUGGGGAAUAUUGGACAAUGGGCGAAAGCCUGAUCCAGCCAUGCCGCGUGUGUGAAGAAGGUCUUCGGAUUGUAAAGCACUUUAAGUUGGGAGGAAGGGUUGUAAGCUAAUAUCUUGCAGCUUUGACGUUACCAACAGAAUAAGCACCGGCUAACUCUGUGCCAGCAGCCGCCGUAAAAC